UUAAAUGAUGUAUCAAAGGAAAAUGCAAGAAACAAACUUGCCUGGCACUGAAAUUUCUAAGAACACUGAUAUAAAGUAUUGCCUUGUAAUGUUCCCCUCACUGUUUAACCAAGCAUAUGCAAGCAAUGUAAGCCAUAAUGUUGCUCAUAUAAUUCAGUUGGUGAUGAGGACUGCUAGUCUGUGGUUUACUUGAGAGUGGAACCUGGACUUGGGCUCCACGUCCCAAGAACUCAGAGAAAGCUUAACCAACAGCCCCACAAGGGCUCACCUUCCCAUCCCAGCUUCCUAGCGCUAAAACAGGUUCUGUCUGGUGUUCUGUUAGCAAGCCUUCCCACACAAUCCACCUUUCUGUGUACCCUUAAUUUUUACUUUCUAACUCAUCUUCCUCUUAAAUACUGUAUAAAUAUAUAUUUUAAAUUAUUUGUUUUUAUUUCAUGUGCAUUGGAAUGAGGGUGUCGGGUCACCUGGAGCUGUGAGCUAACGUGCGUUCUGGGAACCUAGGCCCCCUGUGCUCUGAACCACCAAGCCAUCUCUCCAGCCCCGUUAUUAAAAAUAUUUUAUCUUAAGUCUAUUAUCCCAUGCAUUUAUCUUCACAUCAGUUAUAGCAACAUCUUUAUAUAAUUAUAAAUAUGGACCAGCAUGCAGCUAAAUGCCAGACAAAUAUAAAACUUAAAAAAAAAAAACACAUUGACCUGUGUUGUUAUGUUAUUAGUUGUUAUGAAUAUGGGUCCAAAUAAAGAGAAACAGCUUGUGCGUUUUAAUGGAAUCAUAGACGCUGGAGCCGUAUCACUGCCUGCCACCCGUUAUCUCAAACGGAGCCCAAGUUUUUAAAGUCAUUUCCUAACUAAUGUUAACAACCCCAGGUGUUUCCUGAUUUCAGUUGUUCAGACUCCG
rnacentral:lncRNA from 1 species